rnacentral:rRNA from 1 species
AUUGAACGCUGGCGGCAUGCUUUACACAUGCAAGUCGGACGAGUGGCGAACGGGUGAGUAACGCCUCGGAACGUACCGAGUAAUGGGGGAUAACUGUCCGAAAGGACAGCUAAUACCGCAUAUUAUCCGAGCGGCCGAUGUCGGAUUAGCUGGUUGGGGGGGUAAUGGCCCACCAAGGCGACGAUCAGUAGCGGGUCUGAGAGGAUGACCAGCCACACUGGAACUGAGACACGGGCCAGACUCCUACGGGAGGCAGCAGUGGGGAAUUUUGGACAAUGGGCGCAAGCCUGAUCCAGCCAUGCCGCGUGUAUGAAGAAGGCCUUCGGGUUGUAAAGGACUUUUGUCAGGGAAGCGGUACCUGAAGAAUAAGCACCGGCUAACUACGUGCCAGCAGCCGCGGUAAUAC